rnacentral:rRNA from 1 species
CCUACGGGGGGCAGCAGUGAGGAAUAUUGGUCAAUGGACGAGAGUCUGAACCAGCCAAGUAGCGUGAAGGAUGACUGCCCUAUGGGUUGUAAACUUCUUUUAUAUGGGAAUAAAAUGUUCCACGUGUGGGAUUUUGUAUGUACCAUAUGAAUAAGGAUCGGCUAAUUCCGUGCCAGCAGCCGCGGUAAUACGGAGGAUCCGAGCGUUAUCCGGAUUUAUUGGGUUUAAAGGGAGCGUAGGUGGAUUGUUAAGUCAGUUGUGAAAGUUUGCGGCUCAACCGUAAAAUUGCAGUUGAAACUGGGAGUCUUGAGUACAGUAGAGGUGGGCGGAAUUCGUGGUGUAGCGGUGAAAUGCUUAGAUAUCACGAAGAACUCCGAUUGCGAAGGCAGCUCACUGGACUGCAACUGACACUGAGGCUCGAAAGUGUGGGUAUCAAACAGGAUUAGAUACCCCAGUAGUC